rnacentral:rRNA from 1 species
GAUGAACGCUGGCGGCGUGCCUAAUACAUGCAAGUCGAGCGAACAGACGAGGAGCUUGCUCCUCUGACGUUAGCGGCGGACGGGUGAGUAACACGUGGAUAACCUACCUAUAAGACUGGGAUAACUUCGGGAAACCGGAGCUAAUACCGGAUAACAUGUCGAACCGCAUGGUUCAACAGUGAAAGACGGUUUUGCUGUCACUUAUAGAUGGAUCCGCGCCGCAUUAGCUAGUUGGUAAGGUAACGGCUUACCAAGGCAACGAUGCGUAGCCGACCUGAGAGGGUGAUCGGCCACACUGGAACUGAGACACGGUCCAGACUCCUACGGGAGGCAGCAGUAGGGAAUCUUCCGCAAUGGGCGAAAGCCUGACGGAGCAACGCCGCGUGAGUGAAGAAGGUCUUCGGAUCGUAAAACUCUGUUAUUAGGGAAGAACAAAUGUGUAAGUAACUAUGCACGUCUUGACGGUACCUAAUCAGAAAGCCACGGCUAACUACGUG